rnacentral:rRNA from 1 species
UACGUAGGGUGCGAGCGUUAAUCGGAAUUACUGGGCGUAAAGCGUGCGCAGGCGGCGCGUUAAGACAGGUGUGAAAUCCCCGGGCUUAACCUGGGAACUGCAUUUGUGACUGCAUUGCUGGAGUGCGGCAGAAGGGGAUGGAAUUCCGCGUGUAGCAGUGAAAUGCGUAGAUAUGCGGAGGAACACCGAUAGCGAAGGCAGCUCGCUGGGACGGUACUGACGCUGAGGCGCGAAAGCGUGGGGAGCGAACAGG